rnacentral:rRNA from 1 species
GAUGAACGCUGGCGGCGUGCCUAAUACAUGCAAGUCGAACGCACAGCGAAAGGUGCUUGCACCUUUCAAGUGAGUGGCGAACGGGUGAGUAACACGUGGACAACCUGCCUCAAGGCUGGGGAUAACAUUUGGAAACAGAUGCUAAUACCGAAUAAAACUCAGUGUCGCAUGACACAAAGUUAAAAGGCGCUUUGGCGUCACCUAGAGAUGGAUCCGCGGUGCAUUAGUUAGUUGGUGGGGUAAAGGCCUACCAAGACAAUGAUGCAUAGCCGAGUUGAGAGGAUGAACGGCCACAUUGGGAAUGAGACACGGCCCAAACUCCUACGGGAGGCUGCAGGAGGGAAUUUUCCACAAUGGGCGAAAGCCUGAUGGAGCAACGCCGCGUGUGUGAUGAAGGCUUUCGGGUUGUAAAGCACUGUUGUAUGGGAAGAAAUGCGAGAAUAGGGAAUGAUUCUAGUUCGACGGUACCAUACCAGAAAGGGACGGCUAAAUACGUGCCAGCAGCCGCAGUAA